GACGGAGGAUGCAAGUGUUAUCCGGAAUCACUGGGCGUAAAGCGUCUGUAGGUGGUACGAAAAGUCCACUGUUAAAAAUUGAGGCUUAACUUCAAAGAUGCCGUGGAAACUUUCAAACUAGAGUAUGGUAGGGGUAGAGGGAAUUUCCAGUGGAGCGGUGAAAUGCGUAGAUAUUGGAAAGACCACCGAUGGCGAAGGCACUCUACUGGGCCAUUACUGACACUGAGAGACGAAAGCUAGGGGAGCAAAUGGG
rnacentral:rRNA from 1 species